rnacentral:rRNA from 1 species
UAAGGAAUAUUGCUCAAUGGGCGAAAUCCUGAAGCAGCAACGCCGCGUGGAGGAUGAAGGGCUUUCAGCUUGUAAACUCCUGUAAAGAAGGAAAAAAUUCCCAUUAGAUGGGAAAUGAUGGUACUUCUAAAGUAAGCCCCGGCUAACUACGUGCCAGCAGCCGCGGUAAUACGUAGGGGGCAAGCGUUGUCCGGAUUUACUGGGUGUAAAGGGUGCUCAGGCGGAUGUGUAAGUCAGAGGUGAAAUCUCACAGCUUAACUGUGAAACGGCCUUUGAUACUGCAAGUCUAGAGUAUGGAAGAGGGUGAUGGAAUUUCUGGUGUAGCAGUGAAAUGCGUAGAUAUCAGAUAGAACACCAAUGGCGAAGGCAGUCACUUGGUCCAUUACUGACGCUAAAGCACGAAAGCGUGGGUAGCAAACA